CAAUAGUGUAUAUUAAAGUUGUUGCGGUUAAAAAGCUCGUAGUUGGAUUUCUGCUGAGAACGACCGGUCCGCCCUCUGGGUGUGUAUCUGGCUCUUUCUUGGCAUCUUCUUGGUGAACGUUGCUGCACUUGACUGUGUGGAGCGCUACCCAGGACUUUUACUUUGAGGAAAUUAGAGUGUUUCAAGCAGGCAUACGCCUUGAAUACAUUAGCAUGGAAUAAUAAGAUAGGACCUCGGUUCUAUUUUGUUGGUUUCUAGAGCUGAGGUAAUGAUUAAUAGGGAUAGUUGGGGGCAUUCGUAUUUAACUGUCAGAGGUGAAAUUCUUGGAUUUGUUAAAGACGGACUACUGCGAANGNAUUUGCNAAGGAUGUUUNCAUUG
rnacentral:rRNA from 1 species